AUGUGAGGGCAAUCUGGCUGCGACAUCUGUCACUCCAUUGAUCACCAGGGUUGAUUCUGCUGAUCUGGCUGGCUAGACAGGUGUCCUCUUCCUCCCUUACCACU
rnacentral:snRNA from 1 species